rnacentral:misc_RNA from 1 species
AACUUCUAACAAUGUAUCUCGUGGCUCUCGCAUCGAUUAAGAACGCAGCGAAAUGCGAUAAGUAAUGUGAAUUGCAGAAUUCAGUGAAUCAUCGAAUCUUUGAACGCACCUUGCGCCCUUUGGCCAUUCCGAAGGGCAUGCCUGUUUGAGUAGCAUGAACACCUCAACUCUUCAUGGUUUUCCAUGACGAGCUUGGACUUUGGGGGUCUUGCUGGCCUGCAGUCAGCUCCUCUCAAAUGAAUCAGCUUGCCAGUGUUUGGUGGGCAUCACAGGUGUGAUAACUAUCUACGCUUGUGAUUUUCCACCAGGUAACCUUCAGCAGUGGAGGUUCGCUGGAGCUCACAGACAUGUCUCUCCUCAGUGAGGACAGCCCUUUUAAUGUUUGAUCUCAAAUCAGGUAGGACUACCCGCUGAACUUAAGCAUAUCAAUAAGCGGAGGCU